AACGAACGCUGGCGGCAUGCCUAACACAUGCAAGUCGAACGAGAUCUUCGGGUCUAGUGGCGCACGGGUGCGUAACGCGUGGGAAUCUGCCCUUUGGUUCGGUAUAACAGUUGGAAACGACUGCUGAUACCGGAUGAUGACGAAAGUCCAAAGAUUUAUCGCCAGAGGAUGAGCCCGCGUAGGAUUAGCUAGUUGGUGUGGUAAAGGCGCACCAAGGCGACGAUCCUUAGCUGGUCUGAGAGGAUGAUCAGCCACACUGGGACUGAGACACGGCCCAGACUCCGACGGGAGGCAGCAGUGGGGAAUAUUGGACAAUGGGCGAAAGCCUGAUCCAGCAAUGCCGCGUGAGUGAUGAAGGCCUUAGGGUUGUAAAGCUCUUUUACCCGGGAUGAUAAUGACAGUACCGGGAGAAUAAGCUCCGGCUAACUCCGUGCCAGCCGCCGCAGUAA
rnacentral:rRNA from 1 species